rnacentral:rRNA from 1 species
UUAAAGUCUGGCCUGCCCAAUGAUUAUUUGAAUGGCCGCGGUAUAUUGACCGUGCAAAGGUAGCAUAAUAAUUAGUUUUUUAAUUGGAAGCUAGCAUGAAUGGUUGGACGAAAGAGCGACUGUCUUUGGUUAAUUAAUAAAAUUUUAUUUUUAAGUGAAAAAGCUUAGAUUACCUUAAAAGACGAGAAGACCCUAUAGAGUUUUAUAUUUUAUUAUGUGAUGGUUUAUAUGGAAGGUUUUAAUUAUUAUAUAUUAAGGUAUUUUGUUGGGGUGACAGAAAAACUGAUAUAACUUUUUUUUUUUUUAUUCACUUAUUUGUGCUUAGUUGAUCCGUUUUUAGCGAUUAUAAGACUAAAUUACCUUAGGGAUAACAGCGUAAUUUUUUUUUAGAGUUCUUAUCGAAAUGAAAGUUUGCGACCUCGAUGUUGGAUUAAAAUUAAUGUUUGGUGCAGUAGCUAGGCAAUUAGGUCUGUUCGACCUUUGAAAUUUUACA